GCCAAGUGGAUCCCAAUUAAUCCAAAAUAUUCCCAUGACUUCCGGAAGACAACCUUAGGCAUUGGCAACUCCACGUACCCGUCUCUCAUUUCUAUUUUGGUUUUUUUUUUUUUUACCUUCGUAACGAAUAACUUUUCCGUGAGACAUGAGUUUAUAAUAUAGUAACAUAACAUUUCACAAGUUAUUUUCGAGAAUGACUUUAAUAAAUUACAUGAACCCAUAAUUUUUAAUAAUUUAAAGGUUGAACUCGUCAACUGAAAUUCUAGAUUUAC
rnacentral:lncRNA from 1 species